GACGAACGCUGGCGGCGUGCUUAACACAUGCAAGUCGAACGGAAAGGCCCCUUUGGGGGUACUCGAGUGGCGAACGGGGGAGUAACACGUGAGUAACCUGCCCUUGACUUCGGGAUAACUUCAGGAAACUGGGGCUAAUACCGGAUAGGAAUCCUUGCUGCAUGGUGGGGGUUGGAAAGCUUCGGCGGUUUUGGAUGGGCUCGCGGCUUAUCAGCUUGUUGGUGGGGUAGUGGCUUACCAAGGCUUUGACGGGAAGCCGGCCUGAGAGGGCGACCGGCCACAUUGGGACUGAGGUACGGCCCAGACUCCUACGGGAGGCAGCUGUGGGGAAGAUUGCCCGAUGGGCGGAAGCCUGAUGCAGCAACGCCGCGUGCGGGAUGACGGCCUUCGUGUUGUAAACCGCUUUCAGCAGGGGCGAAGCUUGUGGUGACGGUACCUGCAGAAGAAGCACCGGCUAACUACGUG
rnacentral:rRNA from 1 species